rnacentral:rRNA from 1 species
UUAUAAGAGACAGCAGCAGCCGCGGUAAUACAGAGGGUGCGAGCGUUAAUCGGAUUUACUGGGCGUAAAGCGUGCGUAGGCGGCUUCUUAAGUCGGAUGUGAAAUCCCUGAGCUUAACUUAGGAAUUGCAUUCGAUACUGGGAAGCUAGAGUAUGGGAGAGGAUGGUAGAAUUCCAGGUGUAGCGGUGAAAUGCGUAGAGAUCUGGAGGAAUACCGAUGGCGAAGGCAGCCAUCUGGCCUAAUACUGACGCUGAGGUACGAAAGCAUGGGGAGCAAACAGGAUUAGAUACCCGCGUAGUCCCUGUCUCUUAUAA